rnacentral:rRNA from 1 species
AUUGAACGCUGGCGGCAGGCCUAACACAUGCAAGUCGAGCGGAUGAAGAGAGCUUGCUCUCUGAUUCAGCGGCGGACGGGUGAGUAAUGCCUAGGAAUCUGCCUGGUAGUGGGGGACAACGGUUCGAAAGGAACGCUAAUACCGCAUACGUCCUACGGGAGAAAGUGGGGGAUCUUCGGACCUCACGCUAUCAGAUGAGCCGAGGUACGAUUAGCUAGUUGGUGAGGUAAAGGCUCAACAAGGCGACGAUCGUUAACUGGUCUGAGAGGAUGAUCAGUCACACUGGAACUGAGACACGGUCGAGACUCCUACGGGAGGCAGCAGUGGGAAUAUUGGACAAUGGGCGAAAGCCUGAUCCAGCCAUGCCGCGUGUGUGAAGAAGGUCUUCGGAUUGUAAAGCACUUUAAGUUGGGAGGAAGGGCAGUAAGUUAAUACCUUGCUGUUUUGACGUUACCGACAGAAUAAGCACCGGCUAACUUCGUGCCAGCCGCCGCGGUAA